rnacentral:rRNA from 1 species
CGGACGGGUGAGUAACACGUGGAUAACCUACCUAUAAGACUGGGAUAACUACGGGAAACCGGAGCUAAUACCGGAUAAUAUAUUGAACCACAUGGUUCAAUAGUGAAAGACGGUUUUGCUGUCACUUAUAGAUGGAUCCGCGCCGCAUUAGCUAGUUGGUAAGGUAACGGAUUACCAAGGCAACGAUGCGUAGCCGACCUGAGAGGGUGAUCGGCCACACUGAAACUGAGACACGGUCCAG